GUGGGGAAUAUUGGGCAAUGGGCGAAAGCCUGACCCAGCAACGCCGCGUGAAGGAAGAAGGUUUUCGGAUCGUAAACUUCUAUCCUUGGUGAAGAUAAUGACGGUAGCCGAGAAGGAAGCCCCGGCUAACUACGUGCCAGCAGCCGCGGUAAUACGUAGGGGGCAAGCGUUGUCCGGAAUGAUUGGGCGUAAAGGGCGCGUAGGCGGCCUGGUAAGUCUGGAGUGAAAGUCCUGCUUUUAAGGUGGGAAUUGCUUUGGAUACUGUCGGGCUUGAGUGCAGGAGAUGUAAGUGGAAUUCCCGGUGUAGCGGUGAAAUGCGUAGAGAUCGGGAGGAACACCAGUGGCGAAGGCGACUUACUGGACUGUAACUGACGCUGAGGCGCGAAAGUGUGGGGAGCAAACAGGAUUAGAUACCCGUGUAGUCC
rnacentral:rRNA from 1 species